CCUAAAACUCAACCAUUACAAUAUAAUGCGGAAAAAUUCAUAAUCAACUAAAACAAUACCCCCAAAAUCUGGUUGUCACGUGUACAAGCCUCUAAAGUAUUACAAUUGAUUCAAAAGAAAUAUAAGUCUCAAAUGACCUUGUUUCUAGAAUAGAACAAGAUCAUAAUUAAGAAGAAAGAAGGUCCGCUGAAAUGAAAAGCAGCUACCUCACAAACCUCCACAAGUAGCCUCGGACAAAGAGAAGAGAAAAUAUCACAAAGGUCCGGGC
rnacentral:lncRNA from 1 species